rnacentral:rRNA from 1 species
UACGUAGGGUGCGAGCGUUGUCCGGAAUUAUUGGGCGUAAAGGGCUCGUAGGCGGUUUGUCACGUCGGGAGUGAAAACUCAGGGCUUAACCCUGAGCCUGCUUCCGAUACGGGCAGACUAGAGGUAUGCAGGGGAGAACGGAAUUCCGUGGUGUAGCGGUGAAAUGCGCAGAUAUCAGGAGGAACACCGGUGGCGAAGGCGGUUCUCUGGGCAUUACCUGACGCUGAGGAGCGAAAGUGUGGGGAGCGAACAGG